rnacentral:rRNA from 1 species
UAGGGAAUCUUCCGCAAUGGACGCAAGUCUGACGGAGCAACGCCGCGUGAGUGAGGAAGGUUUUCGGAUCGUAAAGCUCUGUUAUGAGGGAAGAAUAGGCAGGAGAGGAAAUGCUCCUGUUAUGACGGUACCUCAGAAGAAAGCCCCGGCUAACUACGUGCCAGCAGCCGCGGUAAUACGUAGGGGGCAAGCGUUGUCCGGAAUUAUUGGGCGUAAAGCGCGCGCAGGCGGUUUUUUAAGUCUGGUGUAUAAACCUUGGGCUCAACUUAAGGAGGCACUGGAAACUGGGGAACUGGAGUGUAGGAGAGGAAAGUGGAAUUCCACGUGUAGCGGUGAAAUGCGUAGAGAUGUGGAGGAACACCAGUGGCGAAGGCGACUUUCUGGCCUAUAACUGACGCUGAGGCGCGAAAGCGUGGGGAGCAAACA